AUUGAACGCUGGCGGCAGGCCUAACACAUGCAAGUCGAGCGAGCGGCGGACGGGUGAGUAAUGUAUGGGAAACUGCCUGAUGGAGGGGGAUAACUACUGGAAACGGUAGCUAAUACCGCAUACCAUCAGAUGUGCCCAGAUGGGAUUAGCGAGUAGGUGGGGUAACGGCUCACCUAGGCGACGAUCCCUAGCUGGUCUGAGCGGAUGACCAGCCACACUGGAACUUAUACACGGUCCAGACUCCUACGGGAGGCAGCAGGGGGGAAUAUUGCGCAAGGGGCGCAAGCCUGAUGCAGCCAUGCCGCGUGGAUGAAGAAGGCCUUCGGGUUGUAAAGUACUUUCAGCGGGGAGGCGUUACCCGCAGAAGAAGCACCGGCUAACUCCGUGCCAGCAGCCGCGGUAAUUC
rnacentral:rRNA from 1 species